CGGGAAUUUUGGGCAAUGGGCGAAAGCCUGACCCAGCAACGCCGCGUGAGGGAUGAAGUAUUUCGGUAUGUAAACCUCGAAAGAAUGGGAAGAAUAAAUGACGGUACCAUUUAUAAGCUCCGGCUAACUACGUGCCAGCAGCCGCGGUAAUACGUAGGGAGCAAGCGUUGUUCGGAUUUACUGGGCGUAAAGGGCGCGUAGGCGGCGCGGUAAGUCACUUGUGAAAUCUCUGAGCUUAACUCAGAACGGCCAAGUGAUACUGCUGUGCUAGAGUGCGGAAGAGGCAACCGGAAUUCUUGGUGUAGCGGUGAAAUGCGUAGAUAUGACAUGGAACACCAAUUGCGAAGGCAGCUUACUAUGCGGUGAUUGACACUGAGGCACGAAAGCGUGGGUAGCAAACA
rnacentral:rRNA from 1 species